rnacentral:rRNA from 1 species
UACGUAGGGGGCAAGCGUUGUCCGGAUUUAUUGGGCGUAAAGCGCGCGUAGGCGGCCGCUUAAGUCGGAUGUGAAAGCCCCUGGCUCAACUGGGGAAGUGCACCCGAAACUGAGUGGCUUGAGUACUAAAGAGGGUCGCGGAAUUCCCGGUGUAGAGGUGAAAUUCGUAGAUAUCGGGAGGAACACCGGUGGCGAAGGCGGCGACCUGGGUAGAUACUGACGCUGAGGCGCGAAAGCGUGGGGAGCAAACAGG